UACGUAGGGACCGAGCGUUGUCCGGAAUCAUUGGGCGUAAAGAGCGUGUAGGCGGCCCGAUCAAGUUCCGCGUGAAAUCUCACGGCUCAACCGUGAGCAGCCGUGGAAAACUGGUCGGCUAGAGUGCGGGAGAGGAGAGUGGAAUUCCUGGUGUAGCGGUGAAAUGCGCAGAUAUCAGGAAGAACACCCGUGGCGAAGGCGGCUCUCUGGAACGCAACUGACGCUGAGACGCGAAAAGCGUGGGGAGCAAACAGG
rnacentral:rRNA from 1 species